CGCACAUUGCGCCCCUUGGUAUUCCGGGGGGCAUGCCUGUUCGAGCGUCAUUUAAACCCUCAAGCCCAGCUUGUUUAUGGGUGCUUGUCCCGCCUCUCGCGCGGCGACUCACCUCAAAAUCAGUGGCAGCCCGCACCCGCAGGCCGUGAGCGCAGCACAGAAGCGCCCAAGGCACCAGCAGGUCGGCUCUCCAGAAGCCCAUUUCCACUUUUGACCUCGGAUCAGGUAGGGAUACCCGCUGAACUUAA
rnacentral:misc_RNA from 1 species